UUCCGGGGGCGCGAGUGCCAGUUCGUGAGCGUGCGCGUUCUCGCCGCCGCCGGUGCCGCUUCCGCCGUCCUCUGCCGCUGCUGCUGCUGUCGCCGCCCCGGAUCCUCAGGCCGAGCAGUGGGACGGCCGGCUGCCCAGCAGCACCGCGGUAGGGAGUACGGAACCGCGGAACCGGUGGACAGGCGGGCGGGCCGACAGAUUAAUCUAACAUGGCUGACCAGAGGCAGCGCUCACUCUCUACCUCCGGGGAAUCAUUAUAUCAUGUUCUUGGGCUAGACAAGAAUGCAACCUCAGAUGACAUUAAAAAGUCUUACCGGAAGCUGGCCCUGAAAUACCACCCUGACAAGAACCCUGAUAACCCAGAGGCUGCAGACAAGUUUAAGGAGAUUAACAACGCCCACGCCAUCCUGACAGAUGCCACGAAAAGAAACAUAUAUGACAAGUACGGCUCGCUGGGGCUCUAUGUGGCUGAGCAAUUUGGGGAAGAGAACGUCAACACCUACUUCGUACUCUCCAGCUGGUGGGCCAAGGCCCUGUUUGUUGUCUGUGGCCUCCUCACCUGCUGCUACUGCUGCUGCUGUUUGUGCUGUUGCUUUAACUGCUGCUGUGGGAAAUGCAAGCCCAAGGCACCUGAGGGUGAGGAGACGGAGUUCUACGUAUCGCCUGAAGACCUGGAGGCCCAGCUGCAGUCUGAUGAGAGGGGAGGGCACUGACACUGUGCCGAGAGUGUUUGUGGUGGCAUCUGGGACUGUUGAGGUGUGAACGUGGACACUUGAGAGGCUACAGACACACCGAUUGUCAUACAGCCAGCAUCCGCCACAGAGACCACCCAGCUGACGGCUGACUCCCACCCCAGCUACCACACCGACGGGUUCAACUAAAUUCAGGAGAGGCUGUGAUUAGAGGACGAAUCAGCACCUGGCCACUUCAACCUUAGAAUCAUGAACUGUAGUCACUGAGAUGGGGAGGCAACCGUCAACCUGACCUGCUGUGGCUUGUCAGGGCCCCUCCCACCUCCUCUAAGCCCACCCAUCUGUCAAUCCUUGAUACACGAAGUGCGUAGCAUGCAGUAUUUAAAGCAGUGUAGCUACGGUCUUCUUCUGUUUUAUCCUUUUGUUUAAUAGCAUGUAUGGGUUAUGUUCAGUGUCUGUGUUGUGGAUGCGCUGCAGCUGGGCUGAAUUAACUGGAUGGCAGUGCUGUCUUGGGUUUUCAGCCAAGUGGGUCCAAUGAGGUUCAGCUGUCUCCUUGUGCUUACAGGAGUCAGGUAGGCACCUGGAGCUACAUCUCCAUGUUGACCUCUGUGUCUUGUGACAUGGUCUAGUUCAUGGCUCUGAUCUCAUCCUCAAGGCUGCAGACAGGGUUCUGAUUUCACCUGCGAAGGAGGGAGCUGGGCCCCAUCCUCCCGGCAGCACCAGGACCAGUCGUUUGCCCAGUGUUCCUGUUAGAUCUGCUGUGGAGAGCGCAGGUAUGCCCUUCUGAAAGGGAGAGCACACCUGUUAGAUCUGCUGUGGAGAGCACAGGUAUGCCCUUCUGAAAGGGAGAGCACACGCUGUGGUGUCUCUCUCUGUCUUGGGUCUCCUGGCCUUGUGGACUGAAAUCCUGUCAUUGGAGACAGGUCCCUUGCUGGUGUGUGGGAAAUCAUUUGUCUCUGUUCUGCACCUUUCCAGGUCAAAAGCUGGAUUGACGGGGCCACAGCCUCCUUUCCUCAUUCCUGGGUCAUCUUCCACAUUCCUUCAAGCCAACCUUGUUAAUUUUAUUUUUUAUUUUUUGGGGGGACUUUAAGAACCACAAAUGGUAGCACCUGCCACUUAGCCAUAGUCAGAAAGUCUUUUGAGUCCAGUUGUGGGUGGCAUGUAGCUGCUUAUAAAGAGUGAGUGCCCAGGAUCAGAACCUCCUCCCUGUGCUUGCCAGAGCUCCAUCCAUCCCACUUGCCUUCACUUCCACCUGUCGUCAUCAAUGCCUCUGGCAGUACUGGGGUGUUGGGUUCCCUGGUGCCCCUGACUCAGAAGGGUUGACUUUUAGGGAAGCUUUGGUGACAGUUACUGGACUGGGAUGCCAGCUGCAAGCCACAGAAUUACUUUGUGAACUUCUCUCCAGUCAGUAUUCCAGUUUUGGUCACAGGUACCAUGGUGGGCAGAGUUGGAAAAUGUGAUUACCAGGGAUUUCGAACCACUUACCCUUUUACAGUUAGCUGGAUUAGCUGUGCCAGACUUCAGUGAGCCAGGUUCCUCCAGAACCUUCUGCUGGCUGCUACUGACCGUCCGCAUUUCCAGUACAGAGGAAGAAGGAGAAAGCUCAUGUGGUGGCCCAGACAAACCACCAUGUGUUUCCAAAGCCAUCAUCCACCUCCUGGCCCCUGCUCACCAGGGCCUUCAGGGAUUAGAUCAGGUUGACAGGAAGUUGCAAGAGGUAACAUUGUGAGGGCAAACUUGGCAGUGAUUGAGGGUGCCUAUUCAGGUCCUGGGAGACAUUGAUGCCAGGGUUCCCAGCUGACCCUACAGGGGAACUACAUGAGCCAGAAGCUGGCUUCAAAGUCCUACUAUGGGUUUGUAAGUUUGUUUUAUUCUUUAUAGGAUUUUAGGGAUAUUCAUUAUCAUACUGAGUUAGAAAUAAUUUGUAAACAUCAGACCUAUGGCUACAUGUAAUGGGACUUGCCUGUAAUCCCAGCACUAGGGAGGCUGAGGUAGAAAGACCUUGAGUUGCAGGCCAGUCUGGGCUUUAUGCAGUAAGACCCCUACUCAAAUAAAUUUAGUAGAAGAAUGAGAAAUUAGCGGGGUGGUGGUGGCACACGCCUUUAAUCCCAACACUCCAGAAGCAGAGGCAGGCGGAUCUCUGAGUUCCAGGCCAGCCUGGUCUACAGAAUGAAUUUUAGGACAGCUAGGACUGUUACACAGAGAAACCCUGUCUCAAAAAAACAAAAAAUGAGAAAUUCAUUGCUGGGUCUAUUGUUGGAACAAAGGAAGAAGAGGCCACUGGGCAAUCUGGGGUGCUGGUCCCAUCACCCUAGUGUUGGUGCCCUUCACCAUGAUGGCCAGGAACCAGGUUAUGAGUAGAAAGCUGCAGUCUGGUAGCACGUCCUCCUGCCUGCGGCUCUGUGGCCCUUUCUCUUACAUCCCAGUGAGCCAGGUGCUGUUGGGUGAGAGCACAGAGGUCAAACCUGGUAUCUUUUUGAAUUUGUAAAGCUAAGUAAAUCAUGUUGAACUUAAAACCAUCGAUGUGUGCAACAGUUUCAAGGUGAUAAUAGUGAUUGCCAAGGCCACUGAACUCCCUGACCAAUCCCUGAACGCAGACUCCCUUGCAGGGUUUUGCUGAGUUGAUCUAAAGUCGCCUUGAUUUCAUUUGCCCUGACCUAAGCAUAACUGGUGAGUCUUAGGAUCAGCCUGACUAUUCCUGACCAAAUACUAUUAAAUAUAAAGAAGUUCAUCCAGUGCAGUGGAUGCCCCUUAAGAACCAGAAACCGACCACUUCUGACCUACAGAGAGUACUUAGGAGGGACCCCGGGGACCCAUCUCACCAAGGCUAGAGUAGAUUUCUGUUUGUGCCCAAUGAUGUGGUCUUUCCUUGUCUUCCUUUUGACUGUGUUUUUAAAUUACUUUAGAUAAUUCUGUGCAAUGUUUAUAACCUUUCCUAGUCUUCUGAUGUUCAGUUAACACAGCCAAUGGGGGACCUGUUAGGAAUAGAAAUCAGUGCUUAAUGUGGUUAGCAGGAAACUUUCCAAAAAUUGUCGGUUACUGGGUUUGUUCCAGAAUCAUAAAGCCAAGUCUCUUCUCAGAUGUUCAGGUGCCAGGUUUUACUAAUACCAGUGCCCCUUGUCCUACUGACCCAUGACUUUUAUUCCAGGUAAAUCUUGUGCAAAGAAGCUGCCAUUGUUGCAGCUGGUAGUCUCCAUCAUUCAAGCUGUCCCUGGAGAGUCUAGGUGCUGUGGUAUGGAGAACUGGUGGGCCAUGACCAUCUUCCUUGGCUUUCUGUGCACCUUUUAUUGAAGAAUAGCUGUGAACAGUGUAAAACAUGUCUGAUCUCAUUCUUUUCCCAGGGUUUUGAGCUGUGAACCCAUGUGUCCCAGCACUGGCCUGUUCCUUUUAUUUUGGUUCAGUUUCCUCCUAUGGAAAUAGCAAAAGCUACAUCUUUACUAUCCUCACAAGCACAGUAUGUGUUGUCACAUGCUGUGAGUGUGGGCUGUGGUGUGUGUUGGUGUGUGUACAUAUGUGUAUAUGUAUAUAUCAUGCAGCAGGCCUGUCAUGCUGCUGUUUGGUGGCAAAGCAACAAGUACAAUAAAAGUCGGCUCCAAAACAGCCUGUGGUUUCUUAAAGUGUUGGGCAGGGGUAGGGUCUAUUGGCAAAACACCAAAGGAAACCCUAAACUUACUAUGUACAUACAGGUACAUGUACUUGAAUGCACUGCACUGCAUAGGCCCUAGCCAGCAUUUGGCUUCAGCUGUGUAUGUUGGUCACAAGGAUGACCAUACCAAAUAUAUCCCUCGGGAUCAUGCCAGGCUUACCUGAUCAUCAAAUAUAUGAGGUCUAGGACAUAACUAGAAGCUUUCCUCUCUUGAAACACUAAAACCAAUUUAUGAGCACCUGUUGAAAUCAGUAAUGAAGGUGCAUGCAGAGGACAGCCUGGGCAGGGGCUUUCUGUGUCCAGGCCCCGUUUUCUAGGGAAGUGUCUCAUGCUAAGUUGGAGGAAGAUUUUAAUUUAAAGACAAUUUUUAAGAGCUGAAUGUAAGUGCAUGGAAAGCCUGUACCAGUUUUACCCAUUUACUGAAGUCUGGAUAGAGCAGAGCACAAGCUGCUGUCGGCCCAGGCUACCUGACUUUGGUGUGCCUCCAGGGGCCAAGCUGAAAGCUGUGGUGGUUCCGCAUGGUGACCUGUCUAAAUGUUGACCUAAAAUAAAUGUUUUCACUGCAGACCA